rnacentral:rRNA from 1 species
GAGUUUGAUCAUGGCUCAGAUUGAGCGCUGGCGGCAUGCCUUACACAUGCAAGUCGAACGGCAGCACGGGAGCUUGCUCCUGGUGGCGAGUGGCGAACGGGUGAGUAAUGCAUCGGAACGUAUCCUGGAGUGGGGGAUAACGUAGCGAAGGUUACGCUAAUACCGCAUAUUCUGUGAGCAGGAAAGCGGGGGACCUUCGGGCCUCGCGCUCUUGGAGCGGCCGAUGUCGGAUUAGCUAGUUGGUGAGGUAAAGGCUCACCAAGGCGACGAUCCGUAGCAGGUCUGAGAGGAUGAUCUGCCACACUGGAACUGAGACACGGUCCAGACUCCUACGGGAGGCAGCAGUGGGGAAUUUUGGACAAUGGGGGCAACCCUGACCCAGCCAUGCCGCGUGAGUGAAGAAGGCC